rnacentral:rRNA from 1 species
UAUGCCUACGGGGGGCAGCAGUGGGGAAUAUUGCACAAUGGGGGAAACCCUGAUGCAGCGACGCCGCGUGAGUGAAGAAGUAUCUCGGUACGUAAAGCUCUCUCAGCAGGGAAGAAAAAAAGUCUUUGGCUUUGGACGGUACCUGACUAAGAAGCCCCGGCUAACUACGUGCAAGCAGCCGCGGUAAUACGUAGGUGGCGAGCGUUAUCAGGAAUGAUUGGGCGUAAAGGGUGCGUAGGCGGCCUGCUAAGUCUGGAGUGAACGGUACCGGCUCAACCGGUACAGGCUCGGGAAA